UUGGCUCUGCUGGCCCUGCUCAGGAAAUGUUCUUAGUCAUUUGCAUUCCUCUGCAGUAUAAUCAAAGAAUAUAUCUUAUGCCUUGACAGAGGGGGAGUGGCAAAAGGUUCUUAUUGCAAACAAAUGAAAAAAUCUUAAACUGACUUGUUAGAAAAAGGACAAUAACAAUAGGAAGACUGGAGAUAAGAGUAUAUCUGAGCCUAGAAGCUCUCAAAGACAGGCACAGGAAUGGG